rnacentral:lncRNA from 1 species
CCUAUUUCUUGCCAUCUACCCCCACCUUUGGAGCAGGGAUGGAAACCUACUCCUCCUUCUCUCCUACCCCCAGUGUCUGACUGCCCAGUGUUGGUGCUCCAAGGGCACCAUGGGGGACAAGGGGCAGGCUCCAGGGUUAGAGAGAAUUGAAAGGUUAUGCAGACAUGCUGCCCUCCUCUUCCCUAACAGGAACAAGGAUGGAUUUUCAGCUCCUGAGAUCAUCAAAGGAAAAGAGAGAGAGGCUGGAGCUACAAGAAACUUACAUCCUCCUUAUGUUAGCCCGUAAGGUAGCUAGUUGGUGCAGUAGCAGAAAGACCCAGGUUCAAAAUGCAGUCUCAGACAUUACUAGCUGUGUGACCUUGGGAGCUAAGAACCAGAAACAAAAUAGGUGCCCAUGGAUUGAGGACUGGCUGAAACAGAUUGCAGGAACAUAAUGGAAAUGAUGACUGCAAAGACUACAGAGAAUUAUGGGAAGACAAAUAUGAAUUGGUGUGAAUUAAACAGAAACUAGAAAACUAUAAGUGAUGAACAAUAAAAUGAACAAUAUAAACA